rnacentral:rRNA from 1 species
UACGUAGGGGGCAAGCGUUGUCCGGAUUUAUUGGGCGUAAAGGGCGCGUAGGCGGCCAUGCGUGUCUUCCGUGAAAUCCCUCGGCUUAACUGAGGACGUGCGGAAGAAACUGCAAGGCUUGAGUCCGGGAGAGGGGGGUGGAAUUCCCGGUGUAGCGGUGAAAUGCGCAGAUAUCGGGAGGAACACCGGUGGCGAAGGCGGUUCUCUGGGCCUUACCUGACGCUGAGGAGCGAAAGCGUGGGGAGCGAACAGG